GGCUGAAAGGACAGGUUCUCGUCCGAUCACCGAAGUUCAGCAUCAUCGAGCGCGGUCAGUGCUUGGAAAGGUGACCACCUGGGAGCUCC